rnacentral:rRNA from 1 species
CAGCCGCCGGGUAAUACGAAGGGUGCAAGCGUUAAUCGGAAUUACUGGGCGUAAAGCGUGCGUAGGCGGUGAGUUAAGUCUGCUGUGAAAUCCCCGGGCUCAACCUGGGAAUGGCAGUGGAUACUGGCUCGCUAGAGUGUGUCAGAGGAUGGUGGAAUUCCCGGUGUAGCGGUGAAAUGCGUAGAGAUCGGGAGGAACAUCAGUGGCGAAGGCGGCCAUCUGGGACAACACUGACGCUGAGGCACGAAAGCGUGGGGAGCAAACAGGAUUAGAUACCCCCGUAGUCCCUGUCUCUUAUACA